rnacentral:rRNA from 1 species
CGACCGGCGCACGGGUGAGUAACGCGUAUCCAACCUGCCCUUUACUAUGGGACAGCCCGUCGAAAGGCGGAUUAAUACCGUAUGUUGUCAUGUUGAUGCAUAUUUUCAUGACCAAAGGCUUCGGCCGGUAAAGGAUGGGGAUGCGUCUGAUUAGCUUGCCGGCGGGGUAACGGCCCACCGGGGCGACGAUCAGUAGGGGUUCUGAGAGGAAGGUCCCCCACAUUGGAACUGAGACACAGUCCAAACUCCUACGGGAGGCAGCAG